rnacentral:rRNA from 1 species
GAUGAACGCUAGCGGCAGGCCUAAUACAUGCAAGUCGAACGGAGUAGCAAUACUUAGUGGCGGACGGGUGCGGAACACGUACGUAACCUGCCCGAGAGUGGGGGACAACAGAGAGAAAUUUCUGCUAAUACCGCAUAAUGCAGCGGCACCAUAAGGUGACAGUUGUUAAAGGCGAAAGUACGCUUUCGGAGGGGCGUGCGUCUGAUUAGUUAGUUGGUGAGGUAACGGCUCACCAAGACGAUGAUCAGUAACUGGUCUGAGAGGAUGAUCAGUCACACGGGCACUGAGACACGGGCCCGACUCCUACGGGAGGCAGCAGUAGGGAAUAUUGGGCAAUGGGCGCAAGCCUGACCCAGCCAUGCCGCGUGAAGGACGAAGGUGCUCAGCAUUGUAAACUUCUUUUCUCCGAGAAUAAGGCAACGGUAACUCCGUUGAUUGCAGGUAUCGGAGGAAUAAGCACCGGCAAACUACGUGCCAGCAGCCGCGGUAA